AUUGAACGCUGGCGGCAUGCCUUACACAUGCAAGUCGAACGGCAGCAUGAUCUAGCUUGCUAGAUUGAUGGCGAGUGGCGAACGGGUGAGUAAUACAUCGGAACGUGCCCUGUAGCGGGGGACAACUAGUCGCAAGAUUAGCUAAUACCGCAUACGAGCUGAGGGUGAAAGUGGGGGACCGUAAGGCCUCAUGCUAUAGGAGCGCGCGAUGUCUGAUUAGCGAGUUGGUGAGGUAAAGGCGCACCAAGGCGACGAUCAGUAGCUGGUCUGAUAGGACGAUCAGCCACACUGGGACUGAGACACAGCCCAGACUCCUACGGGGGGCAGCAGUGGGGAAUUUUGGACAAUGGGGGCAACCCUGAUCCAGCAAUGCCGCGUGUGUGAAGAAGGCCUUCGGGUUGUAAAGCACUUUUGUCCGGAAAGAAAUCGCACUUACUAAUAUUAGGUGUGGAUGACGGUACGGGAAGAAUAAGGACCGGCUAACUACGUGCCAGCCGCCGCCGUAACAC
rnacentral:rRNA from 1 species